CCUACGGGUGGCAGCAGUAGGGAAUAUUGCUCAAUGGGGGAAACCCUGAAGCAGCAACGCCGCGUGGAGGAUGAAGGUUUUAGGAUUGUAAACUUCUUUUGUUAGAGAAGAUUAUGACGGUACCUAACGAAUAAGCACCGGCUAACUCCGUGCCAGCAGCCGCGGUAAUACGGAGGGUGCAAGCGUUACUCGGAUUCACUGGGCGUAAAGAGUGCGUAGGCGGGGUAAUAAGUCAGAUGUGAAAUCCUGUAGUUUAACUACGGAACUGCAUUUGAAACUGUUACUCUGGAGUGUGGGAGAGGUAGGUGGAAUGCUUGGUGUAGCGGUGAAAUGCGUAGAGAUCAGAAGGAAUACUCAUUGCGAAGGCGGCCUGCUAGGACAUUACUGACGCUGAUGCACGAAAGCGUGGGGAGCAAACAGGAUUAGAUACCCUAGUAGUC
rnacentral:rRNA from 1 species